rnacentral:rRNA from 1 species
AAUUGACGGGGACCCGCACAAGCGUGGAUGAUGUGGAUUAAUUCGAUGCAACGCGAAGAACCUUACUACCCUUGACAUGUCCGGAACUUACCAGAGAUGGCUUGGUGCCCGAAAGGGAAUCGGAACACAGGUGCUGCAUGGCUGUCGUCAGCUCGUGUCGUGAGAUGUUGGGUUAAGUCCCGCAACGAGCGCAACCCUUAUCAUUAGUUGCUACGCAAGGGCACUCUAAUGAGACUGCCGGUGACAAACCGGAGGAAGUGGGGAUGACGUCAAGUCCUCAUGGCCCUUAUGGGUAGGGCUUCACACGUCAUACAAUGGUCGGUACAGAGGGUUGCCAAGCCGCGAGGUGGAGCCAAUCCCAGAAAGCCGAUCGUAGUCCGGAUUGUUCUCUGCAACUCGAGAGCAUGAAGUCGGAAUCGCUAGUAAUCGCAGGUCAGCAUACUGCGGUGAAUACGUUCCCGGGUCUU